AUGAGUCUCAUAUGCUGGAACUGUCGGGGCCUGGGGUCGGACUCGACAGUUGGCGAGCUUCGCUGGUUGGUGAAGCUUUACCGACCCUCCCUCCUCUUUCUGUCGGAAACGAAGAUGAGGGAUAACCGUGUCAGGAACUGUAUGUGGUCUCUGGGUUUCUCUGGUUGCUUUGCUGUGAGUAGAGAGGGCCUUAGUGGAGGUCUUGCUUUAUUC
rnacentral:rRNA from 1 species